UGACAAGAAUGACAGCACAACCACAGCAAUUACUAAUUUAGAGGCUUCUUUUGGAAGUUCGAGCCCAGUUGGGUCUUUGUCUUCUGAGGAUCAUGAUUUUGACCCCAC
rnacentral:sRNA from 1 species